AUUGAACGCUGGCGGCAGGCCUAACACCUGCAAGUCGAGCGGAGCGGCGGACGGGUGAGUAAUGCCUAGGAAUCUGCCUGGUAGUGGGGGAUAACGUCCGGAAACGGGCGCUAAUACCGCAUACUAUCAGAUGAGCCUAGGUCGGAUUGGCUAGUUGGUGGGGUAAAGGCCUACCAAGGCGACGAUCCGGAACUGGUCUGAGAGGAUGAUCAGUGCAACUGGAACUGAGACACGGUCCAGACGCGUACGGGAGGCAGCAGUGGGGAAUAUUGGACAAUGGGCGAAAGCCGGAUGCAGCCAUGCCGAGUGUGUGAAGAAGGUCUUCGGAUUGUAAAGCACUUUAAGUUGGGAGGCGUUACCAUCAGAAUAAGAACCGGGUAACGUCGUGCCAGCAGCCGCGGUAAUAC
rnacentral:rRNA from 1 species